GGAGAAAGCACAUGGUCCUCCUGCAUUUUACUGUGAUUAAGGUUGCCUUCCCAUCUCAUGUCCUUGAUUAGAUCUGUGCAGUGACUGCCUCCCUGUUAUGAAGAUGGGUCAUGUCUUUCAACCAGCUGUUUUGCCUGAGCCUAUACCUACUGCAUCUCUCCUGUAUAUUGACUCAUCUGAAGGGUUUCAGUGUGUCCACAAAGAGUAACUUUUCACAAAAGAUAGAUCUGGAAAAGCAUGUGGAUGUUACCACAAGUCUGAUCUGAUGCAUUUUACCUCGGAUUUGUUCCAGUAGUGUUUUCAAAUAAACACUGAAGUCUGAAGAGAAAUCGUCUGUUGGAAUUCCUCUGCCUUAUACUGUGCAUGGAAAAAAAUUUCCAUAUGACCAAUAAAUAAAUAAAUACAAAUAAAAUCAUGAUCACCAACA